GAUGAACGCUGGCGGCGUGCUUAACACAUGCAAGUCGAACGGAGCACCCCUGAAGGAGUUUUCGGACAACUGAUGGGAAUGCUUAGUGGCGGACGGGUGAGUAACGCGUGAGCAACCUGCCUUGGAGUGGGGAAUAACAGCUGGAAACAGCUGCUAAUACCGCAUAAUAUGUCUGAACCGCAUGGCUCUGGACAUCAAAGAUUUAUCGCUCUGAGAUGGACUCGCGUCUGAUUAGCUAGUUGGUGGGGCAACGGCCCACCAAGGCGACGAUCAGUAGCCGGACUGAGAGGUUGGCCGGCCACAUUGGGACUGAGACACGGCCCAG
rnacentral:rRNA from 1 species